GAGCGGGGAUAGAUCGUGCGGCCGGGCAAAUGUGGUCUCCCAUGGUGGACCCCAGGCCAGAAAUUUCACCAAACAUGCGACACAAGGAGAAUGAGUCUCGGCCACCUCCCAACCGGCCGGUCCCGGGUGACCCUCGAGCUUCUUCGGGUCCCUCCUCGUCUGGGCUCGGCCGCAGGCCACAUAUGAUGGUGGGAGAUGCUGCAUUGAGAUGAAGUUCCUGAUUUGAGAAGGGAUGACGGGACCCCAGGUGCCUAGGAAAAUAGGAGAAGUAAGCCCAGGGCUGGAGGAUCAGAAGAAUCUCGUUCACGGUUUUUAAAAGCGUUCCGGCUCCAGCUUGGCCUGAUUUUGAUCCUCCUGACAACCAUACGCGACCGGUGCAUCCGCUCAGAUCCCGCCCGCCCCCGAGCAUCCCGGGACCCCAGGGAGACCGCGCAUGCGCGAAGGAAGCUGCUCAAAGACCUAGGGUAGCAGUUAGCUCUGCUGUCUUGACUGGGAUACUAUCCUCGCUUAGGGUGCAGAAGGUCUGGGCAUCAAAUCCCGGACGAACUCUUUUCCCCUUCUUUCAGGAGACUCUACGUCCCGUGAGAACUUGCAACAAGAAGGAGUUCGCUAGGCAAAAUGUGGGCGCGAAGAGGUGAGAUGGCACAGCCGGGAGCUUGGGAAAAGCGUCGGUCACGACCUUCAUUCUCCUCCCACGUUGCUUCUUAGACCGAGAGUGUUUCCUAGUCCCAAAUCUAGGCGGUUUUUAGCAGAGCCCAGUGGUCUUAGGUCUUUGUCCUAAGGACCCUCCAUGAUGGCUCUGUAUAUGCCUACCAGUUCAGUGUGUAGAGUGUGGAACCGUAAAACCAGAGAACCCGGCGUUUACUCUCCUAUCAGAAGAUGGGUAUUCUUUCCCCUCUCGAAGAUAUUUGUCAUUGUGGUUACCAGAAGUGGGGUCGGGGGAGGCGUGAGCGGAAUUAGAUGAAGGUAGUCAAAAGGUAAAAACUUCCAGCUAUAAGGAAGUACUAGAGAUGCAGUGUACAACAUAAUAAAGAUAAUUAACACUACUGUUAGAAGAGCUCAUCUUUAGAGUUAAGAGAGUAAAUCCAGAGUUCUCAUCACAAGGAUGAUGGAUGGUCGCUAAACCAUGAUUGUGAUAAUGAUUGUGAUGUAUGUAAAUUGAAUCAUUAUGUUGUACACCUUAAACUUAUACAGUGCUGUACGUCAAUUACAUCUCAGUAAAAGUGGGGAA
rnacentral:lncRNA from 1 species